GGGGAUGUACCGGUUUCGACAGGGAUCAUGCAGUCGGUGAAGCUAUCCGCAUGCGAUGCGUUAAAUGGCAAAAUUAAAUUAAACGCUGAUAAUAGAUUAGCAAUCGCUGCCUAAGUGCAGCCGCAGACUCCUUUGCACUCAUACAUCGGAUGUUCUGCGUCGACGAUAUGAGAAACGGUAUAUGCAAAGCUUUGAGCAUAUAUACGUAGGAUGAAGCUACCAAAACCCGUAGAGUGUAAAUUCUCGCCGGGCGGAGGGAAUGAAAAAUAAUUUACUAUGAUAGUAGAAGAACGAGGAAUUGGUUUUUGGACACGGGUUCGACUCCCGUCAUCUCCAUCA
rnacentral:tmRNA from 1 species